rnacentral:lncRNA from 1 species
GAGCUUUUCACCUAAAGUGCUUUGCAGUUCUCAGUAUUCAUGUGAAAUCUUGGGUAAAUCUAUUAUAUUCAGCUGAACUGAGUCCUGUUUACCUUAUGCAGGGAUUAUUUCAUCAGCUCCUGAAAUGCAAAACCUCCUGUGGCAAGAGAGGAAAGGCAGUCUUGUGACUGCGGCUCUGACCUGAAGGACAUGCUGUCUCCAAGUAUGAUUUCAUUCAGGUAGUGGGAGCAAGAGCUGCAGUAAAACACAAAAAGAUUUGCCUUAGGCAGACAGGGCAGAAGCCAGAGCAGAAAAUCCUAAGAUGCAAAAUGAACAUACCAAAAUCAACCUCAAGAGAGGUCUGCAGAACAUCCAAGAGCAGAGUCAACUCCCAGAUCUACCUGCUUCCUGUGCAUGCGGACUCCUGCAUACAAAGUCUCACACGUGCUGUUCCAGAUCACGUUUAUAGCAAGCAGGACCUCAGACCGAAGGAAAUAAAGCGUCAAGUUUGAGCUCUGAUGUUUCAUUGAUUUAGCCCAGUUCACAGAAGCCCAAUAAGUCUGAGUUUGUUCACACAGCUGGUAAGCUAUAAACUCUUUCUCCUGUAGCAAACUUCUCUCCUCCUUCCCAAGAGCUGGGAGAGGGGACUCGGGGUGUGCUGGUGUUGGGGAGGGAGAA